GCCCUGCAAUUGGAUCCUACACAAGUCAAUCCCACAUGUGGGUGGGCGGUGGACUCAGAGCUGCGCACCCAGUAAAGUAAAGGUUGUACAACAAAAGCUUGCGGGAAAGUUGCACAUGCCAGCGAACGCGAAUUAUACUUAACAGUUACACCUCUCGCUAAAAGUGAAAACACGUUUCAGACCCGUUCAGCUCAGUUUCAUUCAAGACGCAAUGAUGUCAUGCCUGUGGAUCUUCGUCCUUGGGAGUUUAAUCGUGACUGGAGUGAAGAUGCAAGACGAUGGAGUGGAAAGUGCAGAGAAUGCAGCUGCAGACGCUGAAAAACCAGCUGAAGUUCCUGCACCUGAGGAAACACCUGAGGAAACACCUGAAGAAACACCUGAGGAAACACCUGAAGAAACACCUGAAGAAACACCUGAGGAAACACCUGAAGAAACACCUGAGGAAACACCUGAAGAAACACCUGAAGAAACACCUGAGGAAACACCUGAGGAACCAGCGGAGGAGGCAACAGCUCCUGCAGAGCCUGAAGCUGAAGACACAAACCCUGACACAGACGCCGCGACAGAAGAUGCUGAAGAAACACCAGCAGGUGAUCUGAUCUAAACAAAAAGACAUUACACUCCACAAACAACACUGAGAAUAACGAUUCAGAACAGCCACAGAAACCUGAGAGAUCAGGAGUUUCUAUCAGAUAAUGUGUCCCAUUUAUUCUCAGCCCUGAAAUAUUUCAUAGCCAGAAGCGGCUCUUUUUGAACGCAAUCUUCAAUGAAAUGAUUUCAAAAAUCCUUCAAAUAUCCUGUGACCAUGAAGGCCUGGAAAAGUCAUAGAAAUUCAUCAGUCGGUGGGCUGGGAAGCCUGUAAUAAUCGUGUGGUUUUGACUAUGACUUAUUUUCCUCUCUGUUCCGUUUCGCUGAAAAAGCAGACGCAGCAGAUCAGACAUACUGGUCUGGCAACUAAAUGAGUUUAAACACUAAAAUUACUAACUGGAAAUAAAAACUGAAGUCACUAACUGGAAAUAAAAUAACAAAGUAUUAAAGGGGUCAUAUGAUGCUUUUUUAAAGAUCAUUAUUUUGUGUAUUUGGUGUAACAGAAUAUGCUGACAUGCUUUAACGUUCAAAAAACACAUUAU
rnacentral:lncRNA from 1 species